rnacentral:rRNA from 1 species
GAUGAACGCUGGCGGCGUGCUUAACACAUGCAAGUCGAACGGAAAGGCCGAAGCUUGCUUCGGUACUCGAGUGGCGAACGGGUGAGUAACACGUGGGGGAUCCGCCCUGUACUUCGGGAUAAGCCUGGGAAAAUGGGUCUUAUACCGGAUAUGACGAUCCCUUGGGUGGGGGUGUGGAAAGCUUUUGCGGUUUGGGAUGAGCUCGCGGCCUAUCAGCUUGUUGGUGGGGUAAUGGCCUACCAAGGCGUCGACGGGUAGCCGGCCUGAGAGGGUGUACGGCCACAUUGGGACUGAGAUACGGCCCAGACUCCUACGGGAGGCAGCAGUGGGGAAUAUUGCACAAUGGGCGCAAGCCUGAUGCAGCGACGCCGCGUGGGGGAUGACGGCCUUCGGGUUGUAAACUCCUUUCGCAAUCGACGAAGCCUUUUGGUGACGGUAGGUUGAGAAGAAGCACCGGCUAACUACGUG